AGGGCGGCCUCGACUACCUCGGCAACCCCAGCCUUAUCCAUGCGCAGAGCAUCCUCGCCAUCUGGGCCUGCCAGGUCGUGCUCAUGGGCGCCGUCGAGGGCUACCGCAUUGCCGGCGGCCCACUCGGCGAGGUCGUCGACCCGCUCUACCCCGGCGGCAGCUUCGACCCCCUCGGCCUGGCCGACGACCCUGAGGCCUUCGCCGAGCUCAAGGUCAAGGAGCUCAAGAAUGGCCGCCUCGCCAUGUUCUCCAUGUUCGGAUUCUUCGUCCAGGCCAUCGUCACCGGCAAGGGCCCGCUCGAGAACCUGGCCGACCACCUCGCCGACCCAGUCAACAACAACGCCUGGGCCUACGCCACCAACUUCGUCCCCGGCAACUAAGCUCGCCAUUCGCCUCUGCAACUCCAUUGUCUUCCGGCCGGGAGGGGCGUAC
rnacentral:lncRNA from 1 species